rnacentral:rRNA from 1 species
AUUGAACGCUGGCGGCAUGCUUUACACAUGCAAGUCGAACGGCAGCGCGGGCUUCGGCCUGGCGGCGAGUGGCGAACGGGUGAGUAAUACAUCGGAACGUGCCCAGUAGUGGGGGAUAGCUCGGCGAAAGCCGGAUUAAUACCGCAUACGACCUGAGGGUGAAAGCGGGGGAUCUUCGGACCUCGCGCUAUUGGAGCGGCCGAUGGCAGAUUAGCUAGUUGGUGGGGUAAAGGCCUACCAAGGCGACGAUCUGUAGCUGGUCUGAGAGGACGACCAGCCACACUGGGACUGAGACACGGCCCAGACUCCUACGGGAGGCAGCAGUGGGGAAUUUUGGACAAUGGGCGAAAGCCUGAUCCAGCAAUGCCGCGUGUGUGAUGAAGGCCUUCGGGUUGUAAAGCACUUUUGGCGGGAACGAAAAGGACUGUGCCAAUACCACGGUUCGAUGACGGUACCCGCAGAGUAAGCACCGGCUAACUACGUG